rnacentral:sRNA from 1 species
GAGCGCCAGCGAGAGAGCGUUGCCGCAGGCAACGACCCGUAGGGCGAAGCGCGCAGCGCUGAGUAAUCCUUCCCCCACCACCA